rnacentral:rRNA from 1 species
AUUGAACGCUGGCGGCAUGCUUUACACAUGCAAGUCGAACGGCAGCACGGGCUUCGGCCUGGUGGCGAGUGGCGAACGGGUGAGUAAUAUAUCGGAACGUACCCAAGAGUGGGGGAUAACGUAGCGAAAGUUACGCUAAUACCGCAUACGAUCCAAGGAUGAAAGUGGGGGACCGCAAGGCCUCAUGCUCCUGGAGCGGCCGAUAUCUGAUUAGCUAGUUGGUAGGGUAAAGGCCUACCAAGGCAUCGAUCAGUAGCUGGUCUGAGAGGACGACCAGCCACACUGGAACUGAGAGACGGUCCAGACUGCUACGGGAGGCAGCAGUGGGGAAUUUUGGACAAUGGGGCAACCCUGAUCCAGCAAUGCCGCGUGAGUGAAGAAGGCCUUCGGGUUGUAAAGCUCUUUUGUCAGGGAAGAAACGGUUGUGGCUAAUAUCCAUGACUAAUGACGGUACCUGAAGAAUAAGCACCGGCUAACUACGUGCCAGCAGCCGCAGUAAUAC